UUACCGAGUUUACAACUCCCAAACCCCUGUGAACAUACCAAUUGUUGCCUCGGCGGAUCAGCCCGCUCCCGGUAAAACGGGACGGCCCGCCAGAGGACCCCUAAACUCUGUUUCUAUAUGUAACUUCUGAGUAAAACCAUAAAUAAAUCAAAACUUUCAACAACGGAUCUCUUGGUUCUGGCAUCGAUGAAGAACGCAGCAAAAUGCGAUAAGUAAUGUGAAUUGCAGAAUUCAGUGAAUCAUCGAAUCUUUGAACGCACAUUGCGCCCGCCAGUAUUCUGGCGGGCAUGCCUGUUCGAGCGUCAUUUCAACCCUCAAGCCCCCGGGUUUGGUGUUGGGGAUCGGCGAGCCCUUGCGGCAAGCCGGCCCCGAAAUCUAGUGGCGGUCUCGCUGCAGCUUCCAUUGCGUAGUAGUAAAACCCUCGCAACUGGUACGCGGCGCGGCCAAGCCGUUAAACCCCCAACUUCUGAAUGUUGACCUCGGAUCAGGUAGGAAUACCCGCUGAACUUAAGCAUAUCAAUA
rnacentral:rRNA from 1 species